rnacentral:rRNA from 1 species
CCUACGGGUGGCAGCAGUGAGGAAUAUUGGUCAAUGGACGCAAGUCUGAACCAGCCAUGCCGCGUGCAGGAAGACGGCUCUAUGAGUUGUAAACUGCUUUUGUACGAGGGUAAACGCAGAUACGCGUAUCUGUCUGAAAGUAUCGUACGAAUAAGUAUCGGCUAACUCCGUGCCAGCAGCCGCGGUAAUACGGAGGAUUCAAGCGUUAUCCGGAUUUAUUGGGUUUAAAGGGUGCGUAGGCGGUCGGAUAAGUUAGAGGUGAAAUCCCGAGGCUCAACUUCGGAAUUUCCUAUGAUACUUUUCGUCUAGAGAGUAGUUGAGGUAGGCGGAAUGUAUGGUGUAGCGGUGAAAUGCUUAGAGAUCAUACAGAACACCGAUUGCGAAGGCAGCUUACCAAGCUACUUCUGACGUUGAGGCACGAAAGCGUGGGGAGCAAACAGGAUUAGAUACCCGAGUAGUC